AUGGACAUGAGGGACCCCUCUCAGCUCCUGGGGCUUCUUCUGCUUUGGUUUUCAGGUGUGAGAUGUUACAUCGUAAUGACUCAAUCACCAUCCUUGCUGUCUGCAUCUCUGCGUGACAGAGUCACCAUCAAAUGCAAGACCAGUUACUACAUUGGUAGUUGGUUAUAUUGGUAUCAAGAGAAACCAGGGGAAAAUCCUAAAAUCCUGAUCUUUGAUGCAUCCUCUCCAGCAACUGGGAUCCCAUCAAGGUUCAGAGGGAGUGGAUCUGGUACAGAUUUCACCCUCACCAUCAGCAGCCUGGAGUCUGAAGACAUUUCCACUUACUACUGUCUGCAGCAUUAUGAUACCCCUCCCACAGUGGUUCAAGCCAUAACGUAA